AGAACGAACGCUGGCGGCAUGCCUAAUACAUGCAAGUCGAACGAACUCUUCGGAGUUAGUGGCGCACGGGUGCGUAACGCGUGGGAAUCUGCCCCUUGGUUCGGAAUAACAGUUGGAAACGACUGCUAAUACCGGAUGAUGACGAAAGUCCAAAGAUUUAUCGCCAAGGGAUGAGCCCGCGUAGGAUUAGCUAGUUGGUGAGGUAAAGGCUCACCAAGGCAACGAUCCUUAGCUGGUCUGAGAGGAUGAUCAGCCACACUGGGACUGAGACACGGCCCAGACUCCUACGGGAGGCAGCAGUAGGGAAUAUUGGACAAUGGGCGCAAGCCUGAUCCAGCCAUACCGCGUGGGUGAAGAAGGCCUUCGGGUUGUAAAGCCCUUUUGUUGGGAAAGAAAU
rnacentral:rRNA from 1 species